rnacentral:rRNA from 1 species
UACGGAGGGUGCAAGCGUUAAUCGGAAUUACUGGGCGUAAAGCGCACGCAGGCGGUGUAUUAAGUCAGAUGUGAAAGCCCCGAGCUUAACCUGGGAAUUGCGUCUGAAACUGGUUGGCUAGAGUCUUGUAGAGGGGGGUAGAAUUCCAGGUGUAGCGGUGAAAUGCGUAGAGAUCUGGAGGAAUACCGGUGGCGAAGGCAGCCCCCUGGACGAAGACUGACGCUCAGGUGCGAAAGCGUGGGGAGCAAACAGG